AUUGAACGCUGGCGGCAAGCCUAACACAUGCAAGUCGGACGAGUGGCGGACGGGUGAGUAAUGUCUGGGAACCUGCCUGAUAGUGGGGGAUAACUACUGGAAACGGUAGCUAAUACCGCAUACCAUCGGAUGUGCCCAUAUGGGAUUAGCUAGUAGGUGGGGUAAAGGCUCACCUAGGCGACGAUCCCUAGCUGGUCUGAGAGGAUGAUCAGACACACUGGAACUGAGACACGGUCCAGACUCCUACGGGAGGCAGCAGUGGGGAAUAUUGCACAAUGGGCGCAAGCCUGAUGCAGCCAUGCCGCGUGUAUGAAGAAGGCCUUCGGGUUGUAAAGUACUUUCAGCAGGGAGGCGUUACCUGCAGAAGAAGCACCGGCUAACUCCGUGCCAGCAGCCGCGGUAAUAC
rnacentral:rRNA from 1 species